rnacentral:rRNA from 1 species
AUUGAACGCUGGCGGCAGGCCUAACACAUGCAAGUCGAGCGGAUGAAGGGAGCUUGCUCCUGGAUUCAGCGGCGGACGGGUGAGUAAUGCCUAGGAAUCUGCCUGGUAGUGGGGGAUAACGUCCGGAAACGGGCGCUAAUACCGCAUACGUCCUGAGGGAGAAAGUGGGGGAUCUUCGGACCUCACGCUAUCAGAUGAGCCUAGGUCGGAUUAGCUAGUUGGUGUGGUAAAGGCCUACCAAGGCGACGGACCGUAACUGGUCUGAGGGGAUGAUCAGUCACACUGGAAAUGAGGAACGGUCCAGACUCCUAAGGGGGGCAGCAGUGGGGAAUAUUGGACAAUGGGCGAAAGGCUGAUCCAGCCAAGCCGCGUGUGUGAAGAAGGUCUUCGGAUUGUAAAGCACUUUAAGUUGGGAGGAAGGGCAGUAAGUUAAUACCUUGCUGUUUUGACGUUACCAACAGAAUAAGCACCGGCUAACUUCGUG